rnacentral:piRNA from 1 species
UCCUGCUCCUUCUCCAUUGGCAGCGGUGUC